AUGGGCUGGGAAAUACCACCCUGGAAGGUCCCUGAUCCACAAGGGGAUGUUCUCCUGUGGCUCAAGCCACGUUUGCUGCUUCCUUGGCACUGGGAUUCACAGCACCAAGCCCUGUUGGCACCUCAGCCCUGGCUCUUCUCUCACCCCCUGCCUCUCUGUUCCCCCCCUCGAGGGCCCCUAGCUGUGCCCUGGGGUGGGCAGGGUGCUGCAGGGAGGUUCCUCCUCCUGCUGCUGCUCCAGCCUUCCCCCAGGAGCAAAUAUGGUCACAGAGCGAGUGCCAGUGUGCCAGCCUUGGGUGCUGCCCAGGGAGCUGGGCAGUGUCCCUGCCUGUGCCACUGCUGCCCAGGGGCCCUGGGAGUUGUGCCAGUGGGACACCGUGGGCAGCAGAAGGGGAAAUUCAGUCCUUGGCUUCAUGGCCACGUGAACAGAGCUGCUCCCACCCCUGCAGUGCCUCGGUUUUCCCCUCCAGCCUCGCCCUGGGCAUGCUCAUCCCCUGUUCCAGCUGUGCCCUCUACACAGCUGGGCACCCCUGCCCUGCCCGGGGCUCAGCCCUGUGCUUCCCUUCCAGGACCUGGGCUGGCUCGGCCUGGGGCUCAGCCCUGUGCUUCCCUUCCAGGACCUGGGCUGGCUCCUGCCCCCGAGGCGCUCGAGGGGACCCAGGUGACGAGUGACUCUGAUGGGGACACGUUCAGUGACACCCUGGAGCAGAUGGAGCCUGAGAAGGUAAUGGAGGAAGCGCUGGAGGCUUUGCCACCCCUGCCCUGCCCACUCUGCAUGGCACCACCAGCCUGGGAGCCUGAUAAAACCAGCAGGGACACCCUCCUGCACCUCUCCGUGCUUUGUGUCAUUCAUGGAGCGUGUCCCUGUCACUGGGGGAUGCUGAGGAGCCUCCCCAGCCCCCCCAUUGCAGUGGUGAGGCUCCACCACAUGGGUGCCACCACCUGGAUCAUUCCCCUGCCAUGUUUGGAUGCCAUGCUGAGGCCUGUGGGUCUGGUGGAAGGAGGAAGGAACCCCCCCCUCUUUUUCCACCUCAAAUCUGGGCACUCACUCCCCUCAGACGUCACCUCCCAAACCACAAAUGCCACCAAAAAUGCCUCCCCAAAAAUGCCACCCCAAGAGAAGCACUGCACUGCUGCCCUGGCAUUGCUCCCCCUGCCCUGGGAGGGGAGUGGGGGUCUCAGGGCCCUUCUCUCCCAUCUCACAGGCCGGGCAGGUGCGGGGGCUCACCCCAAAGAGCCCCCAGGCUGGGGCUGA
rnacentral:lncRNA from 1 species